rnacentral:lncRNA from 1 species
CAGCCUGGUCAGGAAUAUGCUAACUUUGAUUACAUCAAAGCUGACGGAAGUCAAUAUGUCAGAACUGUGAUAUUUGGAAGCCAUGCUUGCAAAUACACUCUAUUGAUCAUAAACUGCAGAAUUAUUUUACAGAAGUUAUAAAUGCCUAACAAAGAUCGCAUCUAAAAGACUGGCCCUUCUCUUGGGAGUUAGAAAGUAUUUCAAUCCUUAACAGCUUUGGACACUCUACGAGGCUCGAGUAAGUUCUCCCACAUCUAAGAUGGUGCUGCUAUGCACAUAGACAACACACGAUAUGAUCCGCGUCCAAAAAAGAACCACUCGACUGAUUGGCUUUCAGUAACUGACAGAUACACCCCAGUAUCUGUCCAUAGAUCUUCGCCCUGCUCAUAUUUUUCCUAUGAAUGUUGACCUGCAACUGCUUAAACAUUUGCACUAUCAAGCUCACCAGUCUCAGAAGGGCCUACAAAAAUCUUAGGCAUUGUUCCUUACUCCAAACUCAGUGAAGAUAAAUUUGAUGGAUAAACGAAGAGAAAUCCGAAAUGAACAGCAAACAAUUUCUGCAGAAGAAUCUGAUAAGACUAUUACAUUUAUCCGGUGUUCAAACCCAAUAGCUAUCUUUCAUCUUUGAUUUUCAGAAGACAAAAUGGACAGGCAAAAAAAGCAAGCGUGGGAAACAACUCUGCAUAUUGAAACUCACUUCCUCGGUGAAAGUUUUCUUCCGCCGAAAUUUACUGAAGCAGAAACCAAACGAAUUUCUAAGUACCUUAUAUGAUGGUAUGUAAGAAUUUUUUAUUUUAAAAAUGCCUCAAAAAAUCAACUCGGGUCCUAUAUACGAUUUAGGUGCAUCUUACACACUUGUGCGUCUUUUUACCCCGCAUCAUCACUCUGUCGUAAUUAAUACAAGGAACUAGAACGGGACGGCGAAUAAAGAAAAAAUGGUGUUCCGACCUUCAAAAUUAUGAAUCCUCACCGAGGUACUGCUUCAAGAAGGAUGAACUUUCUCACUCAUCGAAAUUGAGACCAGCAAAAUAGCGCAAUUGAGUUACUGAUAAUACUCCCUAAUAUACAUUACUAGGGCAGUCAAUCU